UACGUAGGUGGCGAGCGUUGUCCGGAUUUACUGGGCGUAAAGGGCGUGCAGGCGGUUUGUUAAGUGCAGGGUGAAAGCUCCCGGCUCACUGGGAGAGGUCCUUGCAUACUGGCGAACCCGAGGGAGGCAGAGGAAAGUGGAAUUCCCGGUGUAGUGGUGAUAUGCGUAGAUAUCGGGAGGAACACCUGUGGCGAAGGCGGCUUUCUGGGCCUUACCUGACGCUGAGACGGCGAAAGCGUGGGGAGCGAACCGG
rnacentral:rRNA from 1 species